AUUGAACGCUGGCGGCAGGCUUAACACAUGCAAGUCGAACGGAACCUUCGGGUUUAGUGGCGAACGGGUGAGUAAUACCUAGGAAUCUGCCUAUUAGUGGGGGAUAACGGCUCGAAAGGGUCGCUAAUACCGCAUACGUCCUACGGGAGAAAGAGGGGGAUCUUCGGACCUCUUGCUAAUAGAUGAGCCUAGGCCGGAUUAGCUAGUUGGUAGGGUAAAGGCCUACCAAGGCGACGAUCCGUAGCUGGUCUGAGAGGAUGAUCAGCCACACUGGAACUGAGACACGGUCCAGACUCCUACGGGAGGCAGCAGUGGGGAAUAUUGGACAAUGGGGGCAACCCUGAUCCAGCCAUGCCGCGUGUGUGAAGAAGGCCUGG
rnacentral:rRNA from 1 species